rnacentral:rRNA from 1 species
AUUGAACGCUGGCGGCAGGCCUAACACAUGCAAGUCGAACGAGUGGCGGACGGGUGAGUAAUGUCUGGGAAACUGCCCGAUGGAGGGGGAUAACUACUGGAAACGGUAGCUAAUACCGCAUACCAUCGGAUGUGCCCAGAUGGGAUUAGCUAGUAGGUGGGGUAACGGCUCACCUAGGCGACGAUCCCUAGCUGGCCUGAGAGGAUGACCAGCCACACUGGAACUGAGACACGGUCCAGACUCAUACGGGAGGCAGCAGUGGGGAAUAUUGCACAAUGGGCGCAAGCCUGAUGCAGCAAUGCCGCGUGUAUGAAGAAGGCCUUCGGGUUGUAAAGUACUUUCAGCAGGGAAGCGUUACUCACAGAGGAAGCACCGGCUAACUCCGUGCCAGCAGCCGCGGUAAUUC